rnacentral:rRNA from 1 species
CCUACGGGAGGCAGCAGUAGGGAAUUUUGCGCAAUGGGCGAAACCCUGACGCAGCAACACCGCGUGAAUGUUAAGCCCUUCGGGGUGUAAAGUUCUUUCAAUAGGGACGAAUUUUGACUGUACCUAUAAAGUAAGCACCGGCUAACUCCGUGCCAGCAGCCGCGGUAAUACGGGGGGUGCAAGCGUUGACCGGAAUCAUUGGGCGUAAAGCGUGCGUAGGCGGCAAGGUAAGUCUGAUGUUAAAGCCCGUGGCUCAACUCCGGUUCGGCAUUGGAUACUAUCUAGCUAGAAUGUGGUAGAGGUAAAGGGAAUUCCUGGUGUAGCGGUGAAAUGCGUAGAUAUCAGGAGGAACAUCGGUGGCGAAAGCGCUUUACUGGACCAUUAAUGACGCUGAGGAACGAAAGCCAGGGGAGCAAAUGGGAUUAGAUACCCCUGUAGUC